AUUGAACGCUGGCGGCAGGCCUAACACAUGCAAGUCGAACGAGUGGCGGACGGGUGAGUAAUGUCUGGGAAACUGCCCGAUGGAGGGGGAUAACUACUGGAAACGGUAGCUAAUACCGCAUACCAUCGGAUGUGCCCAGAUGGGAUUAGCUUGUAGGUGAGGUAACGGCUAACCUAGGCGACGAUCCCUAGCGGGUCUGAGAGGAUGACCAGCCACACUGGGACUUAGAAACUGUCCAGACUCCUACGGGAGGCCGCAGUUGGGAAGAUUGCACAAUGGGCGCAAGCCUGAUGCAGCCAUGCCGCGUGUAUGAAGAAGGUAUUCGGGUUGUAAAGUCCUUUCAGCGGGGAGGCGUUACCCGCAGAAGAAGCACCGGCUAACUCCGUGCCAGCAGCCGCGGUAAUUC
rnacentral:rRNA from 1 species